CAAAAAAAAGAAGGAAAUCCUGUCAUUUGCAGCAACAUGGAUGGAACUGGAGGUCAUUAUGUUAAGUGAAAUAAGAUAGGCACAGAAAGACAAACGGGCAAGUUCUCACUCAUUUGUGGGAGCUGAAAAAGUUGAUCUCAUGGAGGUAGUGAGUAGAAUCACAGUUAUCAGAGAGUCGAAAGGGUAUGCAGAGAGGUUGGUUAAUGGGUACAAACAUACAGUUAGAUAGAAGGAACAAAUUCUGUUUGGUAAGAUGACUAUAGUUAACAAUACUACACUGUAUAUUUGAAAAUAGCUAGAGAGAAUAUGUGAAAUGUUCCCAACACAAAGAAAUGAUAAAAGUUUGAGGUCAUGGAUACCCUAAAUACCCUAACUUGAUUAUUAUACACUGUAUGCAUGUAUUAAAACACCACAUAUACCCCAUAAAUAUGUACAAAUACUAUGCACCAAUUAAAAAAUGUAAGAGAAAGAAAAAAUGUUUUCUAGGCUCUGAGGGCUUCCAUCUCCAUUGGCUCCACUGCUUUUAACUUUCUGCAUGACUGAAUUGAAACCUUAAGAAAGGCAGUCCAUUGUUUAAUUCAGAAGAAGAAAAAAAAAAAAACUUUCAGAGAGGAAUGAAAUGAAAAAUAAUCAGUUGUGCCCAGCCAAUCUCUUAGGUUUUUAAACAAUUCACAGAAUGGGUGGGAGGCAAGGAAUGACAAGGCCUGGCUCUGCUCCUAAUACUUCUAGGCCUUGGCUUUCUUACCCGUAAAAUGUGGAAAUUCGACUAAAUAAUCUCUUAAGUUUCUUCUAACUUUAAAGGUCUGAGAUGCUUAAAGAAACCAAAACUCAUUAUGAUUCUAAAACCAAAUAAGAAGACUUAUUUCCAGAGGCUUUGGGGUUAAUAAAGUAAUAAUAAACACUCGCGGGGGUACUCUGUACCAGCCACCAUGGCUUGAGCACUUGAUGUCCACUGAUACUUUGUUGAGUGCAUGUUAACAUUUUAUCUUUAAAAAGCAUAGCUCAUAAAUCUUUCUGAAGCCCUGACUUUGCACAAGAGAUUCAGUGAGCAAUUUCUAAUGUCAUUUAAAUCAGUGGUGUUAAAUUACUCAUCUGGGAAACUACUUAAAGCUGGAGACACCAUCUUUCAUAGGUGAAUUUGAUGAUUAUUUGAAAUGCUAUCUACAUUUAAAAUAUUCAGUAAAACAGUUCAGAAUUAUGACCGGAGGAACUACUUUCCAUUUUUCUCAAUUCUCUUUCUAGACUCAAGUGCUUGAGACUAAGGUAUUUUGAGCACUUGGCACUGUACGAAACACCUUCAUAUAUACCCUGUCACCCUGACUGAGCAGGAUCGCUCAGUUCCAUUUUACAGAUAAGAAAGUAAAGCUCUGAAGAAAUGACUUACCCGGAGGACAGACUGAUGGGAAUCUGCCCCAUAACCCCAGGGGGUUUCGGUUUACCCAACUGGAACCAUCCAGCCUCAAAGCAGGGCUCUCCCAGAGGUUGGCACUGCCACAAGCCUGGUGCCAGGCAGAGGGCAGGGCAUCACCUGGCUGGAGGGCUUUCCAAUGUGUACAGAUAUCCUUGAAGCUCUCGAUAGCUCAUCUGAAAGCAUUUUUUUCUUCCUUUUUUUUUUUGUGAGACCAAGUCUCACUCUGUCAGCCAGGCUGGAGUGCGGUGGCACGAUCUUGGCUCACUGCAGCCUCCGCCUCCUGGGUUCAAGCAAUUCUCCUGCCUCAGCUUCUCAAGUAGCUGGAAUUACAGGCGCGCCACUAUGCCCAGCUAAUUUUUGUAUUUUUAGUAGAGACGGGGUUUCACCAUGUUGGCCAGGGUGGUCUCAAACUCCUAGCUUCAAGUGAUCCACCCACCUCAGCCUCCCAAAGUGCUGGGAAUACAGGCACGAGCCACCAUGCCUGGACAAAUGAAAGCAUUUUUAAAUUCCCUGCUACUGGAGUAAAUGGUUAAAUGUCACAGGUUGAAAAAUACUUGUUCAUUCUCCUAAACUUUGUCUUUCCUUCUCCUCCUUCUAUUCUGGGACCCAGGAUGAGGUGAAGACUUUUCAAAGCCAGAGCUCUACCCUGAUAGCACACGUCAGGAUGUUCAGGAAGAGCCUCAUGGGUUAUUACAGCUCAGGAUGCAUCCAGACACUGUCUCCAUGGCCUGCGGAGCUGCUCUCUGAGGACUCACUUCACUGCCCCUCAUUUCCCAGGCUCAUGGAGAUAUACUACCUGUCACCUCUGGGCCUGGAGGGCAGAUGGAGGUAAGAUGCAAAGGAAGACUGCGUCCGUCAAAGCAGAUGGAAGCAUUCCCUAGCACCUGGGCCAUCCUGGGUCCUAGCUUAAUUACUAAAGAAUAGGGAGAUUUCAAAGUAAAAUGUCCAGACAUUUGUUUAUAGAACAUAAUACUGUGGGCACACAGCAGUUAUCUGUAAGCAUUCAUAUCUGUCAAGGACAUAUGGACUUUAUCCUCAAGCUCUGCCUGCUACACAUCUUGUUUUAAAUCCCUUGGUCCUAUUUAUAUUAAAAAUAAGCCAAGGCAAAAUAUGUAUAUAUGCUUGUAUGCAUCCUCUAUACAUAUCUGUAUGGAAGGUCUGGGGGGUAACAUAGCAAAUAAAUAACUAUGGUGACUGUUUGGGAACUGGCUGG
rnacentral:lncRNA from 10 species